UGCGUCUUGCGAUUGCGGCCGAGAAAGGAACACGUCUCGGCCUCUUGGGUUCUCGAGCCUGAAGACAAGGCUGCUAUUUCUUACAAAGUUCACGAACCGAAAUCGGCUUGCAAUGUGCCGAAUGUAAUAACUGUGACACCUCACCUCGCCAAGAAGGCUAAUGAGAUGACCUCGACCAGCAAGGAUUCGAAAAACCCUUCUCGACCGAGACUUGGAUAAGUAAUCGACCGUUCUCGCCGCAGUGCUGUUGAUGCCAACGGAAGAUACUGCGAGACCGACCGACUCUACGGUGACAGAGCUAUCUAUGCCGACUUAAGAUAUCACCGGUUGCUUCCACAGUGCUGUUGAUGCCAACGGAAGAUGUGUCAGCGAAAAAAAGGAAAAGAAAAAGAUCUCAAGUUGUGAGAGUUUGCGCAGGGCAAUUUUGUAUUGAUUUUGUGGGGGGCUUGAUUGUUACAUGGUGCCCUGUAUUUAUAGGGACGAGCGCGCAUUGGUUGAUAAGCUCUAAGGCUGAUCGAAGUUCCACCAUCCUAUUAAAACUCUUCCACCGUUCAAGCUUUGGUCGAAUCCUACAAUACCACUAUUCUGAACUUAGUCAAAAAUGCAACCAGGUUCAAUCCACGUGCAGCCCCGUGCUUAAAGCAAGAUAAGCACUCAUUUUAUAUUGAUCAAAACGUAGACAUUUAACCAAAUGUCCUUCAUCCAUAUCAUUUCACUUCCAACCAAAUGCAAACCAUGCAUUAUCAGAAAGUCAAACUGAUCACAUCUCCUAUGCAUGUUGCCUUAUCCUUAGAUUUUGAUAAGUAGAAUUUUCCGUGUUGAUCAGGAACGCAAGCCAACCAAGCUGCACAAUGCGUAACCACACAGUCCUUGUAUAAUGCAACUUCUCUUAUUUAUUUGACUCUCAAGCUGCAACUAUAAGAUAAUUACCAUUUUAAUAAAUUCCUAACCAAAUGGUAAUAUCAAAUAGGGCUUCUUUCAUUGAAUGACUCAAAGUAUACGGGCUGAGUUCGUGCAAAAUCACGGCCUCUUAAUAUUCAGAAUCAUCUGUCGAUCUCGAAUUCUGCACAUUCAACGGCCUCGAUUACUCGGGCCGAUGACAUAAAAUCGGGUACAAACAUUGCCCCCCAGUUUCUUUAAGCUUCGGCUCGUAAGCUGAAUGGUUAAGGAAAUUGAUUAUUUGGAACCAGCAUCAUUCCGCCGUAUUGCUGAAAAAGAAACUUUGUUCCAUGACAAUAAUAUCUCUAUCCUGCCAAUGCUGUGGUCUUCCUCGACUCGACCGUCCGUCUCAUUCGGUCGAAACUUAAAAGCAAAUGAGGCCGAGAAAUAGGGUCGAGAAAAAGCUUAUUUCUGAUAGCUCGGCCUGCCAUUUGAAUGUUGCAACCACCUUUCCUUUGCGCCAAUAUUUAUUUGAUUCUUAAACUUGUAUCUUUGUAGCACAUGUUGACAAUGAAAAGACUAAGCCAUCCUCGGCGACUUCAUCACCAAGGAGUCAUUUGGCGACUCCACACCGAGGAGUCAUUCGGCGACAACUGCUGGAGGUCUCUCACCCAUCACUUCUCAUGAUGUUAAGAGGAUACAGUGGGAACACCACUAUCCAUGACGAACGUUAAGAUCGGCACCGACACUACCGAAUGGGUUGAUACCGCCGAACUCGGUUCAUAGCCCAACCAAACACAGAAAAGAACUGAUGUCACCGAGCUCAAGUUGUAAACCGAUGUGUGCUGCCAUUAAGGACAUUUGACAUCUUCUCCAAAUCAUCGUCAAGAGUCGUCGUCGAGCUCGACAGUAUCAUUCAUAAUCCAAUCACUUGCUAAUUCAUUCCUAUAAAUUGUGAGUUGUUACCCUCACUUGCUGAAUAUCGACUUUCUCGGCUUCAUUAAUCCAAGACCGAGAGCUUCUCCGUGAAAUCACAAUCUUAGACUCCUCAUCAUAUCCCCAAUACCGAUUAUGUAAUACAUAGAGAAACAUAUGGGAUGCAUGGUCAGCUUCCUUUGUACCUUCGAUUGCCACCAACUGCUCGACAACAAAAAUGAUGAGCCGUGUAUAUAUAUUAUAUACACUUGAACUACCAAGGAAGGAUGAUGCAUGCAUGCGCCAAAUGGCCACCAAAAAAUGGCCCAAUUUUUCUAACUUCCACCGAAUGCCAUUCACCCCAUAUUAAAGCCACUCUGCUUUGUUUGGUCAUCUAAAAAAAACCUUUGGAUACUACCGAACCCAACGUACAAUGUGGCCAAGCUCAACAACAUAUACUAGGUAGCUCGGCCUGUGCAUCGGUAAUAUGAAACCAACUCUACCACCGAAGAACAUCAUCGAACUGCAAAACCUUUUCAAUACACGACUCGGCAGAGAUUUGACGAGCUUGCCGAGCUCGGUGAGAAAAAUACCAUAAAUACCUCGACAAUUAGAAACCUUUUAGACCACUCCACUUCAUUUGGUGAAACUUGACCGCCGAGCUUGGUGGGCAUCCUCAAUAGUAUCAUAGCAAGCACACCCACGCCAUGAAUAGAACGCCACCUCCACACAACUUAUAGCUGCGAGAAGACUUUCUCGCCUGAGGAGAUUUCUUCGAUGGUGUUGACAAAGACGAAGAAGAUCGCAGAGGUGUAGAGGACCUUCUCGGCGAGGGCUAGUCCUGCCUAUAUAUAUAUAUGAAAUUGAAAUUGUUCCUGAAGCUCGGCCUGCCACCAAUAUCGAGAAAAAUUGAAAUUGGGCCGAGGUCGACGAUCUGGCCGAGAUUCCAAUUCGCAAUUAUGCCGAGAUUCCAAUGUGAUUGCAUAAGGCUGCCAUGCACAUCCGUUUCCAUUCCUUCGGCAAAAGUUUUUUUUUUUUUUUUUUUUUUUUUUUUUUUUCGGCCAAAAGCUUUCCUUGGCCAAAAUUGUCUGCCGAACUACCAUCUGUUGCCCCCCUUAUUUUCUCAAGUAUCGGCCCAUAAAGCCGAAUGGUCUAGAAAAUAAUUUAUUUCUUUUUUAACAAAAGAAAAACGAAAGUGGCCAAACUAAUAAAGAGGAGGAGGCCAACGAUGCUUUAUUCCAAUCCGAGAUCUUAGGCCGAAUAAAAAAAUUUCUCUAAAUAUUUUUAACUUGACGAAAUAUUUUUCAUUUUCGGCCGCCAAAUGUGUGGAACAAUUAUUUUGCCCCCCGGGCAUAAUUUUUUCACCAAUUUCGGCUUUUAACUCGAACAACUUAGCCGACCGAGAUUUAUCUAUCUCGGCUUUAUCACCAAUAAUCAUAUCGAUUGGCGUGGUUUUGGCGUCUAAAACCAUAUCAAUUGAUGUGGUUUUAUGGUCCGAAGCCGUGUAUCGGUCUUGUUCGUCAUUGGAACACUCCUCUGACAAAUCAUUUUCCAAGUUGAUUUGUGACUCAGAAAUUUGAACUUUUCUUCUAGGCCUACCACACUUUCAGUCUCGACCGAGACAACAGGUGGCCUAGGCGUUUCUUCGGCCGUAUUGGCAAUUUCCUGAGGCCGAAUUUUGAUUGUGGCUGGAACGAAAAAUUGCCCCCCAGCCUUUGGACUUAACCAUUUUUCAAAUGGAAUUGAUCUGUAGUCGGAAACGUAAGGAAAACGUUCUUCAUCUAGCCAGGCAUUAAAUCGAGCCCUGUCUUCAUUUACCCAUUGCCCUUGCAGGGUAACAGGAGCUUUUAUUUUCAACAUGCAAGCGAAUGACUUUUGCAUCUCUCUAUGGCCACGAAGAACUUUUUCCACUUCCCAGGAUCUUUUGCAUUCCUCAUUGUGUUUUUUCAAUUCCUCUAGGAGCUCGUACAAUCGGCUACAUGGAGCCGGAUUGACAUCUUGAUAUAUCAUAUGAACUUCGUAGUUUUAGCACUGGGUCCCACUGGGCGUGCCAAAAUGUUGACCCUAAAAUCUACCAAGCCUACGUGGCGCGCAGGCCGAGUAUAUUCUAAGCUAACUACGUCCUUCGGUGAUUGCGGGGCGUGCCAACUCGUCGGCCGAGGCUCGGCCGAGGAGUAAAUUUGAUGAUGCUGCGUUGGGUCGCGCUACUGACUUCUGCGUCUUGCGAUUGCGGCCGAGAAAGGGAACACGUCUCGGCCUCUUGGGUUCUCGAGCCUGAAGACAAGGCUGCUAUUCUUUACAAAGUUCACGAACCGAAAUCGGCUUGCAAUGUGCCGAAUGUAAUAACUGUGACACCUCACCUCGCCAAGAAGGCUAAUGAGAUGACCUCGACCAGCAAGGAUUCGAAAAACCCUUCUCGACCGAGACUUGGAUAAGUAAUCGACCGUUCUCGCCGCAGUGCUGUUGAUGCCAACGGAAGAUACUGCGAGACCGACCGACUCUACGGUGACAGAGCUAUCUAUGCCGACUUAAGAUAUCACCGGUUGCUUCCACAGUGCUGUUGAUGCCAACGGAAGAUGUGUCAGCGAAAAAA
rnacentral:lncRNA from 1 species